UAGGGGUAGUGUAUGGUAAGGCCUGCCCAGUGAUUAAUUAAACGGCUGCGGUAUAUUGACCGUGCUAAGGUAGCAUAGUCAUUUGUCUUUUAAUUGGAGGCUGGAAUGAAGGGUUUAACAAAGGAUAGUGUCUUUAUUUUAAAUUUGUAAUUUAUAAUAAGAGUAAAAAUACUCUGGUGUGAUUAAGGGACGACAAGACCCUAAAAGCUUUAUUUUUAAGAUAAGUUUGAGUUUAAUACAGAAUAUUGAGUUUAACUGGGGUAGUUUUUUUGUAAAAUCUGAGGUUGUAAAAGGCAUGUAAAGUGGGGUUAGGUCCUUUAGAUAAGGAUAAUUUGAGUGAGUUACUUUAGGGAUAACAGCGUAAUAGUCCUAGGGAGAUCGUAUCUAUGGGAUUGAUUGCGACCUCGAUGUUGAAUUAAAAGAUCAGUGUAGAGCAGAAGCUACAGGGUGAGGGUU
rnacentral:rRNA from 1 species